UACAGAGGGUGCGAGCGUUAAUCGGAAUUACUGGGCGUAAAGCGUGCGUAGACGGUUAUCUAAGUCGGAUAUGAAAGCCCCGGGCUCAACCUGGGAAUUGCAUUCGAGACUGAAUAGCUAGGGUACGGUAGAGGGAAGUGGAAUUUCCGGUGUAGCGGUGAAAUGCGUAGAUAUCGGAAGGAACAUCAGUGGCGAAAGCGACUUCCUGGACCAGUACCGACGUUCAGGCACGAAAGCGUGGGGAGCAAACAGG
rnacentral:rRNA from 1 species